CUGUCUCAAAGAUUAAGCCAUGCAUGUNUAAGUUCAACUAUGAUUCAUGGUGAAACCGCGAAUGGCUCAUUAAAUCAGCUAUUAUUUACUAGAAUGUGACAGUUACUUGGAUAACUGUGGUAAUUCUAGAGCUAAUACAUGAAAAAUGCGGAGGUUGAAAGAAUACCCCGCAAGCAUUUGUUAGACCAAACCCGCGGUAUUCCUAACAAGGUUUACCGAAAUGUACUCGGUGAUGAUACCUGUACAAUUAUGACCGAUCGCUAAGGCCUAUAUCGAAAGGUAUGAGCGCCGGCGAUGUUUCUUUCAAGUGUCUGCUCUAUCAACUGUCGAUGGUAGGUUACGUGCCUACCAUGGUGAUAACGGGUGACGGAGAAUCAGGGUUCGAUUCCGGAGAGGGAGCCUGAGAAACGGCUACCACAUCCAAGGAAGGCAGCAGGCGCGUAAAUUACCCAAUCCCGGCACGGGGAGGUAGUGACGAAAAAUAACAAUACGGGACUCUUAAGAGGCUCCGUAAUUGGAAUGAGUACACUCUAAAUCCUUUAACGAGGAUCCAUUAGAGGGCAAGUCUGGUGCCAGCAGCUGCGGUAAGACCAGCUCUAAUAGCAUAUAUUAAAAUUGCUGCGGUUAAAAAGCUCGUAGUUGAAGCCUGGUGGUUUAGAGAACAACCGACGUCGAAUAUAUCUAUAUUUACGUACGAUUCUCUUAAACUACAUCCCGAACAGCUGUCUGUGGUGUUCUUAAUUGAACGCUUCUUGGGUGGCUGUUGAAAUUCACUCUGAUAAAAUUAGGGUGCUUAAAGCAGGCUAUAAAUAUGCCUGAAUAUUAUUGCAUGGAAUGAUGGAAGAGGUUGUUGUUCUAUCUGUGAGGUUUAUAGAGAUAACAUAAUGACCAAGAGAAACUGACGGGGGCAUUUGUAUUGCGGCGCUAGAGGUGAAAUUCUUGGACCGUCGCAAGACAAACUACAGCGAAGCCAUUUGCCCAGGANNNNNNNNNNNNNNNAGACGAAAGUUAGAGGUUCGANUGCGAUCAGAUACCGCCCUAGUUCUAACCUUAAACGAUGCCAACUAGCAAUCCGUCGGUGUUAGUUAUUGACUCGACGGGCAGCUCCGGGAAACCCAAGUAUUAUGGUUCCGGGGGGAGUAUGGUUGCAAGAUUGACACUUAAAGGCAUUGACGGAAGGGCACCACCAGGAAUGGGGUCUGCGGCUUAAUUUGACUCAACACACGAGUACCUUACCUGGCCCGGACACUAAAAGGAUUGACAGAUUGAUAGCUCUUUCUUGAUAUGGUGGAUGGUGGUGCAUGGCCGCUCUUAGUUGGUGGAUUGAUCUGUCUGCUUUAUUGCGAUAACGAACGAGACUCUAGCCUAUUAAAUAGAGACGAUAUUAUUUAUACUCAUGAUCGUCUAAACACCCUUCUUAAAGGGAUAAAUUGCGUUUAGCAAUAUGAAACGGAGCAAUAGCAGGUCUGUGAUGCCCUUCGAUGUUCGGGGCCGCACGCGUACCACAAUGGAACGCUAAGCAGGUAUGUCAUCCUUGUCCGAGAGGAUCGGGUAAUCCUAUUAAAACGUUUCACGAUUGGGAUUGAGAUUUGAAAUUAUUUCUCAUGAACGAGGAAUUCCCAGUAAACUUUAGUCAUUAGCUAAAGUUGAUUACGUCCCUGCCCUUUGUACACACCGCCCGUCGCUAUUGCUGAUUGAGUAGUUUAGUGAGGAUUUCUGAUGGGCUUGAAUAUAAUUGCUAGAAAUAGUGAUGAUUUAAGCCUAGACGAUGUCCAAACUAGAUUAUUAAGAAGAAAUAAAA
rnacentral:rRNA from 1 species